GUAUCGGAGAUGCGAUACUGAGGAAGUAUUAUACUGAGGGAGGGGCGACACUGAGGAAGAGUCACACUAUGGCAGUGGCGAUACUGAGGGAGGGUCACACCAUCGAAGCUCUCGCUCCUGUAGCGGCAAGAUCCUAAACGGACGGGUGUAGAGACCUCCAGAAGAUUUUGGGGGUGUGUAGUGUCACUUUGCCAGUGGACUAGAGCGGUUUCUUUCCUGCAAGGGCCAGGUUUUUGAAGUUUUCGGUCGGUGUUGCGCGUGCGCUGAGCAGUGGCUGCAGCUGAUGGAUUGCUAAAGUUCGAGUCUUCAACUUUGUCGGGAGCGAGAAUGGAUUAAUUCUGUUUUGAAACAGCGAAAACCCCUCCCGUUUAAAUUGCCUAGCUCAGGGUGAUUGGGAAGACUUCGAAGCGGCUGGAAGAAGAGCGGACUGACCUGGGAGACUCCUUCGAUUUUGCGGCAGCACGGAUGGCGCUGAGGUUUUUCAACCAGACCGACAUUCCAGUUUAUCCACCGACAACUCCCUUUUCCCCUCUCCUCUCUGAACUGUUACUUUUUGAGAGAUUAUUUGCUGGCGCCCCGCUGGGUUUACAUCUCUGUUUAAUUCCAGCCGUGCUGUAGAAUUUUGAACUGAGUCGGGCAGCUCCAAGAUGUCGGCGUUGCGCGGAGACUGCGGGCUCAGGCGUUGCAUCUCGCGAAGUGGGUCUCCCUUUCAAAUCAAUGGCCCUGAAAAAUGCUGUAUUGUACUGUACUGACUUCAGUCAGUCGGAAGGAAGUUUUAAAUAUCAUAGCUGAGAUUGUUGGGGGUCGUGAAUGUGUAGUUGCGUCUGAGAAAUUUUCUAUCUGCGGUCUGCGAGAGACAUGUUCUGCCUCCGAGUAGAGGGUUAAAGGAGGGGAGGGUUUACAUGACGGGGGAGCCCGUCUUGGUCCCCUCGCAGAUGGUUGUAUUUUGCGACGUCUACCGCCACACCGCUGAUGCAGCCCUCCUCCCCGCCAGCGCUCUCUGGGUGACGUGCAGUCAAAUAUAACUCCAUUGCGGUACGGCACCUCCGCGGGUAUUUAACCACAUUUUCUCCUUUCCGCGCCGUCUGCUUCUGCAGCUGGAGCAGGGUGGGAUGUCGAGGGAAGCUUUCAGCCUGUCAUUGCGACUUCUGCCAGCUGACUUUGCCUGAUUCUGUGUGUUGGACCUUGCCUGCUCUUGGACCCGAUUUUUGCCUGUGCGCUCUGGAUUGUCUGCCCUCGCCUGACUGCGUUUCCUGUGCCUUUACUUCCUGCGGAGCGUCAAGAAAGCCCACCUCUGUCCUAGGAUACUGAUGGACUUUUACCGCUGUACCAUUGAGAGCAUACUCAUCAGCCGCAUCUCAGUGUGGUAAGGCAAUUGCCCCAUGCCCCGUGCCCCAGUGGGUGGUGAAAACUGCCCAGCGGAUUAUCGCCCACCAUUGAGAACAUCUACCAUAAACGCUGCUUGGGCAGGGCGAAAAGCAUUAGCAAGGAUGCAUCUCACCCUACCCAUGGACUUCUUACUCUCCUCCCAUCCGGUAGGCGCUACAGAAGCCUCCACUCCCGCACCAGCAGGCUCAGGAAGAGCAUCUUCCCUAAGGCUGUGACCCUCCUGAACAUCACAUCACAGCGCUAAACAGUAUUGAAUGCAUAUUGGACUGUCUCAGUAUUCCUAUAUUUGUAUGCUGUAGCACUUACUUUUUAUUCGCUGUGAUGAUAUCCUGAGUUAUUCAUUAUGGACUGUGCUUUUAAAAAGAGAGAGAGAGCAUGCAGCUGUACAGCAGAAACAACUUGUUAUUGAGAGAGGGGUGAAGACUUCUCAUAGUUUGUUUGGGAUUUCUGCAAGGACACUGCCAGCUUCUGGGUUCCUGCAGGAGAGAAGGGAGGAGCUACUUGAUGGGCAGCUGGUGUUCAGCACAACAGUAUUUAAAUGAGUGUAAUUGCUUGUUUCGCUGGACACACAGACGCACUAAGUUUUGGUGAAGUUACCAUUAUUCUGUUCAGGUGCCCACGAGUGUGGGGCUGAGGAUCGAUUGUGAGGGAUCGAUGUGUGAUUAUUAGUGCGUGAAACAGUGACCCUGUGGAGUCCACCAGUGUGUCUAACCUUUGCCUAGAUUGGUUUAGGCUACCAGUUGAAGACGGUGCUCUUAAGUUGUUCAAGUUUGGCUAACUUGGAAGUUUCAGAGGACAACGGGAAGAAUCGACGGCAUCGGCUUAUUUGGACAACCACAACACCUCUCUCUCUCCAUCACUAUUCAACUCAAUACCACGAACUGAACUGAUUUCAUUUACCCAUCAUUGUAAGACUGUAUUCAUUUACCCCUAGGCUUGAAGAAGCUUGGGUUUUAGAUAUUUCCACCCUUAUAUAUAUGCAUGAACUUUGCUAACCUGUUUGAUUUGUCUGACUUUAUAUUACUGUAUUGCAUAGUGGCUAAUAAUCGAGCUUCAGUAAAUAGCAAUACCACACUCCAAGGUGUUUCCAUUUCUGCUGGUUCUUUAACCCGUUACGGGGUACGUAAAUAUUACUAUUCCUUGUAAAUAAUACUAUUCCUUUGCACUUCUGGUCGGAUGCUAAUUACGUUUCAUUGGCUUUGUAUCUAUACUCGGCACAAUGAUAAUAAAGUUGCAUAUAAUCUAAUCUAAUUUUAUCUCAUGUUGAUAUACCUGUGAUGUUGCUGCAAGAAAGUUUUUCAUUACACGUGCAUACCUGUACUUGAGCAUCUGAUAUUAAACUCCACUUUAACA